rnacentral:rRNA from 1 species
AUUGAACGCUGGCGGCAUGCCUUACACAUGCAAGUCGAACGGUAAAGGGCCUUCGGGUGCCGACGAGUGGCGAACGGGUGAGUAAUGUAUCGGAACGUACCUUUCAGUGGGGGAUAACGUAGCGAAAGUUACGCUAAUACCGCAUAUUCUGUGAGCAGGAAAGCAGGGGAUCGCAAGACCUUGCGCUGAUUGAGCGGCCGAUAUCAGAUUAGCUAGUUGGUGAGGUAAAGGCUCACCAAGGCGACGAUCUGUAGCGGGUCUGAGAGGAUGAUCCGCCACACUGGAACUGAGACACGGUCCAGACUCCUACGGGAGGCAGCAGUGGGGAAUUUUGGACAAUGGGGGCAACCCUGAUCCAGCCAUGCCGCGUGAGUGAAGAAGGCCUUCGGGUUGUAAAGCUCUUUCAGCCGGGAAGAAAUCGCAUCAGCUAAUACCUGGUGUGGAUGACGGUACCGGAAUAAGAAGCACCGGCUAACUACGUGCCAGCCGCCGCGGUAAGAC